CUUAAUUAUGGGAUGCUGUAUUUAGGAAAGAUGUAUUGCCAUAGGAAAUUCUCUCCCUCAGAAAAUAAGUUAAAUGGAGGGAUUCUCUUGGGGAAGCCAGAGAGCAGGGAGGAUAUUAGAAGCAGCAGAUCAGGGUAUGCUCCUGAACUUCAAGAAGUGGAUGCACUGCAGGGCUGGAGUGAGCAGGCGGAAGAAGAACAUCAUAGGAUAGACCAGAAGGACUGCACUUGCCUUCCUUAGCUGGGGCAGAGGUGCAUUCUUCCAGGAUUCCAUCUUGGAAGCUUGGGAAUGUGUAUCAAGUCUGGGCAAUAGUUCUUCCUACAGUUAUGCCUUCUUCCUUGGGAGUAACAUAACCCAAAGCUUAUAGUAUGCUACAGAUUCCAGGAGAAGUGAGAAAAGUCUGAGAGCACUGGAAAGCUGAGUAAGUCAGAAAGUACUGGAGGCAGGAAUGGUAGUAUAGAUAAAAACACUUUCCUGAUCAGAAUACAGAAUUUUUACAGAAGUUGUUGUGUAUUAUUUUGUCAUAUUGUACUAAAUAAUAAAGACUAUGUAGACUAGAGCAUUCCUCCCCUCUAAGAGCACACUGGAUGUGGUACAGUCAUAGUCCAUCAUUUCCUGUUUCCUUCAUACUUCAGGUCAAAUGAUUAUACUUCCUUAAGCAUUUAAGAAUAAAAUAAAUAAAAAAAAACUCUCAGUGACCUCUUAUAUGAUAUUAGGAGCUAUGCAGAAAAUAUUUUUUUAAGUCCUUAAGGCACAGCAUUUCUGAACUUAAGGGGAAUGAGUUAAGACUAAGUAAAGUUGAUCUCUUGUUUGCAGUUAAAGCUCACAUUCAGCCCCUGAAUAAUAUUUGAAUAGUUUCUUGGCUAAGAGUUGACAUCUAAGAGCCGAACAUGUUAUGCGUUGAGAAUGAAAGAUCCAAGCUUUGAUUAAUCUUUUCUGUUCAAACUUUUCACCACCAUGAAGCACUUUCCAAACACAAGCGUUCUUGGAAAAAGAGUGCACACACAGUCAAAAGAGCCAGAGAAGAGCAACCUCCAAACAUUGAAAACAUCCCCUUCCCAAGUUUCAACCACCUUUCUGGAGUCCAAGAUUUGUAAUGCUAAUCUGACUACCUUCUUCCACUCUAGAAAAAAAGUAAAAGUAAGAAUAUAAAAACAAUGUACUUAUUAACCGUCGUUAUAUAAGACAACACAUUUCUCUAGCACUUUCCUUUCUUAACUUUUUCUUGAUAUAUAAGUUUAUACAAAAACAAUAUUUACUUGUUAUUUAUUGUAAUGACAAAUGGCUGCCAAUUUAGAGUAGAAUUCCCAGAGGUUUUUAUUCCAGAAGAAUAAUCUCACCUAACACUUUUCCAUACCUGACUUUGUCCAUGAGGCUGAAACAAGCCAUCAGAUCAAUUAAAAACUCAAUCCAACUAGUUUGGAAUGCGGGGAACAAAAACUCUCCUCAGUUGUUGGAAAUGUUAGCUUUUAAUACAGUUGCUUCUAUAACUUGGAUUAAUUAAUUUUCUCUGGAAUUCAUACAUCUCACUGAUGCUCCAGUUCAUGAAAAAAACUCCAUAGGAGAUUUCAGUUUUGCAUUUCUGACAUAAAGAACGUGUAUUAAAGUUAGAAUUGAUCUAUAGUUGUUCAUUACAGUUGCCUGGAUAGCAAAUGACAAUUUCAAUGUAUUGAUAGAUGUGAAAGCAUUUUUAAAUCUGUUACUACAAAGCACUAGUUAUUUACUGUCUAAAUGUUUGUCACUUGGAUAGACUCUGAGGCUGUAACUAUUGAUGAAAAACUUGUCUGUUAAAGUGCCAUUCUAACUGGACUGUUUAUUAUUUCCUAAUGAUUUUCAUUGUGUGUUUCUUAAAACAUCACUUCUGCUCUGGUU